AGCGAACGCUGGCGGCAGGCCUAACACAUGCAAGUCGAACGAACUCUUCGGAGUUAGUGGCGGACGGGUGAGUAACACGUGGGAACGUGCCUUUAGGUUCGGAAUAACUCAGGGAAACUUGUGCUAAUACCGAAUGUGCCCUUCGGGGGAAAGAUUUAUCGCCUUUAGAGCGGCCCGCGUCUGAUUAGCUAGUUGGUGGGGUAAUGGCCCACCAAGGCUACGAUCAGUAGCUGGUCUGAGAGGAUGACCAGCCACAUUGGGACUGAGACACGGCCCAAACUCCUACGGGAGGCAGCAGUGGGGAAUCUUGCGCAAUGGGCGAAAGCCUGACGCAGCCAUGCCGCGUGGAUGAUGAAGGUCUUAGGAUUGUAAAAUCCUUUCACCGGUGAAGAUAAUGACUGUAGCCGGAGAAGAAGCCCCGGCUAACUUCGUGCCAGCCGCCGCAGUAACAC
rnacentral:rRNA from 1 species